GCAAUUAGCCUCGAACCUGCUAGCUCGUGUAGAUACCAUUGGGCAGGAGCUUGCAGCGUUACCUCCUUCUUCAGAGAGGGAUGCUAUGUUAUAUCUGAUAGUCCGCAUACACACAGAUCCGUAGAUAGCUUUGUAUUUUCCUGCACAGACUAGCUUAGCCAUUUUGUCAUGUACAUCAUAUAUUAUAUAUAUCAAACAGUAUUAUAUAUGGCAG
rnacentral:lncRNA from 1 species